CAACAAUAACAAUAAGAAAAAGAGCAGCAAAAGAAGCAGCGCGGCGUAGAUAAGCGUGAGCACACACACACACACACACAUGUACACGUAUACACAUGCUCACACAUCGAGACACGCACACGCAAUAUGAAUGCAGCUGUGUGUAUUGAUGAACAUGGAAAACCGUAAAGAGCAAAACAAAUUAAAAUGGAAGGUGUGUGAUGAAAUUGAUAACAGAGCACAGAGUUUUCUAGUUGUGGUUUAGUGAUAACAAUUUGUUUGAGCAGAGCGUUGGAAACAAGAGAGCAAAGUAAAGUAAAGUAAAGUCGUUCUCUUUCUCUCCCUCGCUCUCCCUAUCUGACUCAUAAAGGAAUAUUAAACAAAGCAAAGAACGCUCGAGAUGCAUCUAUGGGCCGACCCCAACCCCCCUUUUUGCUAAUCCGCACCUGUGCCUGCCAAACAACAGCAACAACAACAGCAGCAGCAGCAGUAGCAGCGGCAACACGUACAAAAACAACAUUCAAGUGGAUUUUUGUUUAAAGCACCAGCAGCAAAAAUUUCAGAAAUUUGUGUGCAGAGAUAAGCGACAUUCAAGUAUUUUCAAAACAUAAUAAAUAUUUGAAUUUAUUGUGUGUAUUUAUAAUUGUUUUCAAUUUUUUUUAGUUCAAUUAAUGGCGCGCGCAGCACAAAAACACACAAACACAUAUAGACACACAAGCACAUAUACACACACAUUGCAGCAUAAAACUGGCGAGAGGCUGAGAAUAAAACUGUAAUCGUAAUCCCUGCAGAGCAAGAGUAACAGCAGCAGCAGCAGAAGCAUAUACAACACCAAAAACAACAACAACAACGACGACGCUAGCCAAGAGACUCUUUCGGCAGCAGCAGCGCGCAGCGAAUGGGAAGCAGUGUAGUAUGAGAAGAAAAAAAUUUUCUUUCCACCAAACGUAAUUGCACUGCUGCUGUGCUUAAAUUUGCCAUUGGAUAUGCACAUAAAUCUGUUUGAAAUCUACUCACGCGUACAAUUUAACACUUGUGGUCUGCUUUGGUAGCCAGUUUGUUUACUUUAAUGCACCAUAAGUAUGUGAAAUUUGUUAUUUAUUUUAAAUUGUUUAUCAUGAACUGCACACAC